GGUGGAGCGCCAGCGAGGCCAAGGUCUCCCAGGCGAGCAUGGCAGGACUGGAGGGCUCCCGGCAGGGCGCCUCGGCGUCCAUCGGGACCCCGACGGAGGUGCCGGAGAUCUUUCGGCUACAACGCCGGGCAGGUGGGGCUCGUUAGCCGUGGUAGGCAAUUCACCUAGGAGAGCAAACUCCGAACAACAAACCCGGGCAGGUGGGGCUCGUUAGCCGUGGUAGGCAAUUCACCUAGGAGAGCAAACUCCGAACAAUAAACCCGGGCAGGUGGAGGUCGUUAGCGAAAGCAGUUCAUCUAGGAGAGCAAACUCCGAUUACAAAACCGGGCAGGUGGAGGUCGUUAGCGUGAGCAGUUCACCUAGGAGAGCAAACUCCGAUUACAAACCCGGGCAGGUGGAGGUCGUUAGCGAAAGCAAUUCAUCUAGGAGAGCAAACUCCGAUUACAAACCCGGGCAGGUGGAGGUCGUUAGCGAAAGCAGUUCACCUAGGAGAGCAAACUCCGAUUACAAACCCGGGCAGGUUGGGCUCGUGAGCCGUCAUAGGUAAUACACCUAGGAGAGCAAACUCCGAUCAUAAAACCCGGGCAGGUGGAGCUCGUCAGCCGUGGUAGGCAGUCUGCCUAGGAGAGCAAACUCCGAACAAUAAACCCGGGCAGGUGGAGCUCGUCAGCCGUGGUAGGCAGUCUGCCUAGGAGAGCAAACUCCGAACAAUAAACCGGGGCUUGUGGUGCUCGUUAGAUGUCGUAGACAAUCCACGUGAUGGGAACACCAAAGAAAAGGAAAAUAAAAAGGAACACCAGAAAAAGGAAAAUAUAGUAACAAAACAUCAAGAAAAUAAAAUAAAAAACACAGAUCAUCCACCUUCAGGCCCUAACAUCUCCAAAAUUAUGGGUGAGUCUUUUCUGGGGAGAAAGAGGCUCAUCCAGACCAAAGAACAUCAAAAAGGGAUGAUAUAGAAAGGAACACCAAAAAAAUGGGAAAAAGAGAAAAAAAACAUCGCAAAAGAAAA